rnacentral:siRNA from 1 species
UCAAAGAUGCCAAUAUUCUCAC